UAAAAAAAAAAAGGACUAAGAAAAACCGAAAACGCGAUUUAUUCACUGCUCUCGUUCGCGCACAAAUCUCUCCUAAAUAUUAUUAGGUAUCGGCUAUAUAAUAAUCGGCGGUAGCACGGCGUACGUAACGCAAACGAACACAAAAUAUACACAACGAUUGGCACGCACGUGGACCGAGGACGCCGGGACAAAGUCGACAAACACGACGAACGGGGGUACGCUGAGAACUGAACCGGACGGCCA